GAUGAACGCUGGCGGCGUGCCUAAUACAUGCAAGUAGAACGCUGAAGGAGGAGCUUGCUCUUCUGGAUGAGUUGCGAACGGGUGAGUAACGCGUAGGUAACCUGCCUGGUAGCGGGGGAUAACUAUUGGAAACGAUAGCUAAUACCGCAUGACAACAGUUAUUGCAUGAUAACUGUUUAAAAGGGGCAACUGCUCCACUACCAGAUGGACCUGCGUUGUAUUAGCUAGUUGGUGAGGUAACGGCUCACCAAGGCGACGAUACAUAGCCGACCUGAGAGGGUGAUCGGCCACACUGGGACUGAGACACGGCCCAGACUCCUACGGGAGGCAGCAGUAGGGAAUCUUCGGCAAUGGACGGAAGUCUGACCGAGCAACGCCGCGUGAAUGAAGAAGGUUUUCGGAUCGUAAAGCUCUGUUGUAAGAGAAGAACGAGUGUGAGAGUGGAAAGUUCACACUGUGACGGUAUCUUACCAGAAAGGGACGGCUAACUACGUG
rnacentral:rRNA from 1 species